UGUGGAAAAACCUGAGGAGUUUUGGGC
rnacentral:piRNA from 1 species